CUGCCUUUCUACAAUAAUACCUUAAAACCAUGGACUGCCUCUUCUCAUCGGAAUCUGCAGUGCUGGAGCAAUGGAGCAGGUCUUCCCCUAAUGAGCCACUCGUUUAACCUUCCUCGGGAGGCUUCUCUGCGUUCCCAGCCAUUUUCACUGCCACCAAGCCAAGCCACUGGACUGACCAAGCCAAGGACUCUCUUCCCCAGGAGGACCUGGAUUUGGCUCUCAGCAGCACAUGAUGACUCGAAACCAUCUAUAAUUCAUAGUUCCUGAGGACCUGAUGUCCUCUUCUGGCGUCUGUGGGCACCAGGUAUUCAUUGGCUGGACAUGCAUAUAUGCAGGCUGCAGUCAGCAGGCACCAGCUCCACCCCCAGCUCUGAGGACUCCAGGAUGCUUAGCUUCCAGCGGUGCAGGUCCUGCUGUUCAGGUGCAUUCUGCAGCUGGGCCACUCUGACCUCCCCAGGGUCCAGCAACACCUGCCAGCGCUGGACACGGGUUCUCACAGCCCAGCAGGGAGUCAUUGACAGCAUAUAGCAAAUGGCAUCGAAGCCGCCCAAAAGGAAAACGAACUUGAGGUCUACCAACCAAGCUUCUGCUUCCAACGGGUCCAUGGGCCAGGUGGGGCUCAAUUCCAACAACACAGGUUGCC